rnacentral:rRNA from 1 species
GAUGAACGCUGGCGGCGUGCCUAAUACAUGCAAGUCGAGCGAACAGACGAGGAGCUUGCUCCUCUGACGUUAGCGGCGGACGGGUGAGUAACACGUGGAUAACCUACCUAUAAGACUGGGAUAACUUCGGGAAACCGGAGCUAAUACCGGAUAACAUGUUGAACCGCAUGGUUCAACAGUGAAAGACGGUCUUGCUGUCACUUAUAGAUGGAUCCGCGCCGCAUUAGCUAGUUGGUAAGGUAACGGCUUACAAAGGCAACGAUGCGUAGCCGACCUGAGAGGGUGAUCGGCCACACUGGAACUGAGACACGGUCCAGACUCCUACGGGAGGCAGCAGUAGGGAAUCUUCCGCAAUGGGCGAAAGCCUGACGGAGCAACGCCGCGUGAGUGAUGAAGGUCUUCGGAUCGUAAAACUCUGUUAUUAGGGAAGAACAAAUGUGUAAGUAACUAUGCACGUCUUGACGGUACCUAAUCAGAAAGCCACGGCUAACUACGUG